rnacentral:rRNA from 1 species
ACACGGAGGAUGCGAGCGUUAUCCGGAUUUAUUGGGUUUAAAGGGUGCGCAGGCGGGCGAUUAAGUCAGCGGUGAAAGGCUCGGGCUCAACCGGAGCAGUGCCGUUGAUACUGGUUGUCUUGAAUGCGGUCAAGGCCGGCGGAAUGUGGCGUGUAGCGGUGAAAUGCAUAGAUAUGCCACAGAACACCGAUAGCGAAGGCAGCUGGCCGGGCCUGCAUUGACGCUGAGGCACGAAAGCGUGGGGAUCGAACAGGAUUAGAUACCCUGGUAGUCCACGCUGUAAACGAUGGACACUCGUUGUCGGCGACAGACAGUCGGCGGCCAAGCGAAAGUGAUAAGUGUCCCACCUGGGGAGUACGGUCGCAAGGCUGAAACUCAAAUGAAUUGACGGGG